GGAAAUGCAUGGUCAGCACGUGUCCCGGCCGCGUGAAGAUCAGCUGCGAGCAUACUACGUUAACCGAGCCGAACGCGAGAAUUCCGUUUCUCUUAGUGCUAAGGGAAGGACCAUACUUGCGGGCAAACUUUCACGUUAGUUUAUCGUCGGGUCUCUCGUCGAAGUGGACGUACUUGAUGCCGUCCGCGCCGUUGUCCAAUAUGGAGCAGUCGUUGAUGUGCGCCAUUCCGGAUGAACUGUUCACGUAGAUCCCGUAUCCUGCGAACGAAUCGAGAAAAAUGUGUCUGCACAGGAGCAUUCGGCGUGGUGACAUUAAUGCCGGUGAAGGCGGCGUGGAGAACCGAAAUCGACUCCAUCUGCGGCGGGACGCCCUCAACAUCGAUCGCGGCGGUAACAUUAUACUCCCGGCCAGUUCCUGCAUGCCUUUUAACGAAGGACAAUAUUACCAAACCGACCGAGAACGUCGCGGAAACUCGACUCGAUGCGCAAGUUAAGCUUACUCUAUCACCACGUUUCGCAGUAUCGACUUCGAGCGUCGCACGUAGAGCGUGUUCUCUUGGAUCAGCGGGUGAUCGUACAGAGCUUCCUCGAAGCGGAUUCCUCUCCAGUGUUUGAUCGCCUUCGUGGCGCCGUCGUGGCGAGUGGGAUGACUUUGCAGCGAUGGACUAAUGAUAUUUGGAACAUGAAGAAAAUAAAGUGAGAUAACUUUGCUGUGAAACAAUGAUGGACUAAUGAUAUUUGGAGCAUGAAGGAAAAAGGUACCUAGGGCCAAGUACCACCAUAACACAGUCCUGAGUAAAACGAUAACGCAGAGAUUUGGAAUUGUGUGUAUUACGUUUGGAAUCAACUGUAUCAAGACUACGAGCUAGAUACUUCCUUAUCGCUUAUCGGUGCCAUGGUGAUAUCGAUUCCAGGGAUACUUAUAACUCGCUGAUACACCAAAGGCGGUUUAUAGUUCAAAGUUUCGUUGGAAGGAGGAUCGUAAAGCAUUCUGGGAAGUGGAAUUGCUACUGUCGUUGCUCGACUCUGGCAUGCCCGUAGUAACACGUGCACAAUCGUACGUCUGGAUGAGUCAUGUUCAUUCAACGUUAGC